UUUCAUCAUUAUUUUUCGAUAUUUUAUCAAAAGAUUCAAUUAUUUUGAUAAUAUCAGUAUUAUGAUAUGCUGAAAAAAAAAGAAGUAUUUUUUACUCUGAAAUACAACUUUCUUAGCUAAAGUAAUGUUAAUCCAAUGUUCGAAGUAGAAUUGUUGCUUGUUGAAUUCAUAGCUAUUUAAUGACAAUUUUAUUGCGCGAAAAAUGAUUAAUGGCACGUUAUUUGCUCGCUGAGGGAAAUACUCGGUGAUAGGUUAAUGGACGUAAAAAAUGAACAGGCUGGCGUAAAGCGGCAGAGAGAUACGAGCCUCGACGAUGAUAGAUAUGCUUUAACCAGUCGUAAUUGUUUUGCGUUCGCUCUUAAUUGGGGCUACUUGUUCGUUACGUUUCUUCCGAAUGAGUAAGAAGCUAUGAAGUUUUAAUAAAUGCCUUGAUCGAGCUGUUAACAUGUUCUGCGAGGAAACAGGUAAAAAAAAUCUUCAAUUCGUUAGUCAGUUUAUACUUAUUAAUAAUAAAUAUAAAAAACGAAGAAUAAUAGAAUCAUAGCUUGAAUUCACAAAUCGAUCGUAAAAUAAAGGUUAUUUUCUAUCUCUUUCUCUCUCUCUUGAUUCGCUGUUUCACUUCGACGAUGCAUUGCAGUUUUAUUAUUGAUUCAAAUGAAGACGAUUCAAGACAUUGGAUAGCCAGACUUUCCACGUCCUGUAUUCAGACCUUCUGAGUGAUUUCUAGGUCAGAUAACAAUUAGAAUAACUCGAUUGAAUUGGUAUACCGAUCAGUGAGACGGUAAAGGUGGUCGGCUAGCUUUCGAAAGUGAUGACCCCAGGGAGCGGUAAAGAUGCGUGCAGGUGCUUCCUCCUUGCAUUUUAUACCUAGAACAACACUAAUGCGAUGAAGAUUAGUUUACUUAAGUUCCCAUGAACUAUUUUUGAGCUUAAUCGUUUGCACUGAUCUCCUGUUAUACGUUGUAUACGUACGCCAGCUAGGUUGUAAUAGAUAAUUACUCCCGCGACCAGGUAGGGGGAUAGACGUUCUUGGAUCGCUAAUGAGCUUCUGGAAUAUUAUCGAUGCUCACGGUAAUGCUUAUAACUGCUUUUCAACUGAGAUUGUAAAUUUUCCGUUGUUCACUGAUUUCUGAGGGAAAGAUGCACGCCGAUUAUGCAUUGGUGGAAUAUAAUAAUGUUUUAAAGAUACCUGUUGCUUCUGUCUGAACGAGGAAUUAUCAGUAGAUUUGCCAGAACGAAGCGAAGACGGACGUG